rnacentral:rRNA from 1 species
CUGUAACUGACGCUGAGGAGCGAAAGCGUGGGGAGCGAACAGGAUUAGAUACCCUGGUAGUCCACGCCGUAAACGAUGAGUGCUAAGUGUUAGGGGGUUUCCGCCCCUUAGUGCUGCAGCUAACGCAUUAAGCACUCCGCCUGGGGAGUACGGUCGCAAGACUGAAACUCAAAGGAAUUGACGGGGGCCCGCACAAGCGGUGGAGCAUGUGGUUUAAUUCGAAGCAACGCGAAGAACCUUACCAGGUCUUGACAUCCUCUGACAAUCCUAGAGAUAGGACGUCCCCUUCGGGGGCAGAGUGACAGGUGGUGCAUGGUUGUCGUCAGCUCGUGUCGUGAGAUGUUGGGUUAAGUCCCGCAACGAGCGCAACCCUUGAUCUUAGUUGCCAGCAUUCAGUUGGGCACUCUAAGGUGACUGCCGGUGACAAACCGGAGGAAGGUGGGGAUGACGUCAAAUCAUCAUGCCCCUUAUGACCUGGGCUACACACGUGCUACAAUGGACAGAACAAAGGGCAGCGAAACCGCGAGGUUAAGCCAAUCCCACAAAUCUGUUCUCAGUUCGGAUCGCAGUCUGCAACUCGACUGCGUGAAGCUGGAAUCGCUAGUAAUCGCGGAUCAGCAUGCCCGGUGAAAUACCUUUCCCGGGGCCUUGUACACACCGCCCGUCACACCACGAGAGUUUGUAACACCCGAAGUCGGUGAGGUAACCUUUUAGGAGCCAGCCGCCGAAGGUGGGACAGAUGAUUGGGGUG